AAAUAAGAAUUGAUUAGAUCAAGUUUGAUUUCGACUCAAAUUAUGGGGUUUCCCCUUAUUUA
rnacentral:tRNA from 1 species